AUUGAACGCUGGCGGAAUGCUUUACACAUGCAAGUCGAACGGCAGCACGGGGGCAACCCUGGUGGCGAGUGGCGAACGGGUGAGUAAUACAUCGGAACGUGCCCGGUCGUGGGGGAUAACGUAGCGAAAGUUACGCUAAUACCGCAUACGAUCUGAGGAUGAAAGCGGGGGACCUUCGGGCCUCGCGCGAUCGGAGCGGCCGAUGUCAGAUUAGGUAGUUGGUGGGGUAAAGGCCUACCAAGCCGACGAUCUGUAGCUGGUCUGAGAGGACGACCAGCCACACUGGGACUGAGACACGGCCCAGACUCCUACGGGGGGCAGCAGUGGGGAAUUUUGGACAAUGGGCGCAAGCCUGAUCCAGCCAUUCCGCGUGCAGGACGAAGGCCUUCGGGUUGUAAACUGCUUUUGUAUGGAACGAAAAGGCUCUGGCUAAUACCUGGGGCUCAUGACGGUACCGUAAGAAUAAGCACCGGCUAACUACGUG
rnacentral:rRNA from 1 species